rnacentral:rRNA from 1 species
CAGCAGCCACGGGAAUACCAGCACCUCGAGUGGUCAGGAGGUUUAUUGGGCCUAAAGCAUCCGUAGCCGGUUGCAUAAGUUUUCGGUUAAAUCUAUGCGCUUAACGUAUAGGCCGCCGAAAAUACUGUGCAGCUAGGGAGUGGGAGAGGUACACGGUACUCGAUAGGAAGGGGUAAAAUCCUUUGAUCUAUUGAUGACCACCUGUGGCGAAGGCGGUGUACCAGAACACGUUCGACGGUGAGGGAUGAAAGCUGGGGGAGCAAACCGGAUUAGAGACCCCCGUAGUCCCUGUCUCUUAUAC